UUUCAUGGACUGUUUCAGGGUCAUUUCUGAGCCCUCUUGGUCUCUCUGUAGUUUGUGGAGUAUCCCGAGUACUUGGAUCUUCGCCCAUACAUGUCUCAGACAGCUGGGGAACCGCUGCUCUACUCCUUGUACGCUGUCAUGGUUCACCGUGGUGCCUGCUGUCAUGAAGGACACUUCUACUGCUACACAAAGAUAACAAGGCCUACAGCUGAAAUGCAGGAGAUGGGCUAUGCCAGCUUUGAGGCUUGCUUCACAUGCCCAAUCCAUUCUGGGCCCAUGGGAGCCUGCUGUAUUUGGCUCAGGUGCGCUCUCUGUGUCUACCCUUUACACGUACACCAAGCCUAAAAGCUGCAACAGUGGAAACAUAGAGCUGGAUGACUACCGUGUUUCCCAGCAAGUAGGCUCUAUGUUAAUUGUUGCUAUUUAGCAUUAGUGUUAAGUUUCAUCUCUGUUGAACAAUUCCUUGGAAAUGCUUUUCAAAAUGUCCCUGUACAUACUUUAUAACUGGCGUAUUACGCAAAUGUUUUGCUUUAAAUACAAAAGCAGGAGUUUGUGAAUUAUCCAUGAUACCAGGAAGGAACUGAACAAGAACUCUCAAUUCUGUGUUUUAAACAAAAGCCUGUCUUCUUUCAAGCGAUAGGACACAAGGGAAGGGAAUGAAGCUGUGUUAGGCCCUGCCGCCGGCCCAGAGGAAGCUGGUGGUCCCUGAACCGGGAGCAGCUGACACCCGGCCCGCAGCCCAGAACUGGUGAGAGGUUCAAAACGUGGUAGAGUGUGGACAUGGUAUCCUCAUGAGGACCCAGCCUCACACCGCUGGGGAUGGGAGUCUUUGGACCUUAAAAGCAGGGUUGGCAUUUAUAAAUUAGUAUUUGUGUCCUAAAAAUUAGGGUUUGGAGCAUAACAAGAGAGUGCUCCACAAACUUCUCCCGUAUUGAGUCUUUCCACAGGCUACAGCUCUUCCCAAACUGCUCCAGUGUGAGCUUCCAGAGAGUCCCGACCUCCUUUGGGCGCAGCCACCUGCUCCAGCAUGGGUCCUCCACGGGCUGAGGAGGGCAUCUGCAAAAAUAUGGACAGAGGAACAAAUAAGCUUUCAGCAUUCUCUAACUUACAAGAUACAGAAGAAGGGGUAGCAGAGAGAUUCAGAGAUACAGGGAGGCCUAGGUGACAGUGGAAAUUAAGAGAUUUGUAAUACUCUGUAGUAAAAUGCCAAAGUUACCUUCUCAGAAGUCCUAAUGAAGCCACUGGAGUUUUUAAAAGCCUCAGAUUCCAAACAUUUCUCCAUUUCAGUUCAGAUAACACUUUAAUUUUUGUACCUUGCACAAGUUGGUAUGCUUUUAUCAUAUGGUCCCCCCCACGUCCCACCCCGGAAGAUUCUACCUGUACAAAACAGCUAAUUUAGUCCUUAAACUUUUGUAACUCCAGUGAGAGACUAUCAUCAUCCAGUUACAGAGAUCUACAUAUUCAUGUCUAAACCUCCGCUAGUCUCCCUCAAGAACUACAGCCAGUACUGCAAAACAGGCACUUCCAGGACACAAGUAAUCUCGCCCCAAGACAAACUCUAAACCAAGCUACAUGAAUUGCACCCUGGAGACACCCAUUUCCUUCCCUUGGCUGUGGAAGAGGGCAGGGGAGCUAGCUGAGAUCCAGACAGCUGAAAUUCCAUGUGACCAAUUUCAGCCUGUGCUCUGUGACCAACAUAGACAUGAAGUGGGGACUGUCUCCCACCUGAAGCAGGCAGGUAUUCUAGAUGAGGCUUUAGGCAACCUGGAGGGUGCAACUGGAUGAUCUUUAAGGUCCCUUCCAACCCAAACAAGUCUAGGAUUCUGUGAUUCUCAGGACACCCUGCUCCUGGGAGGAGAUUUAAUACUUUGCAGCAGGUAAUGCAGGCUCUAGCCUCCGUAGUAAUCUCUAUAAGUAGGUAAUCUCUGUAAGGAGCACAGGGCAAGGAGCAUAUGGCAAAAGCUGCCUGUCUCUUAAACACUUAAAUGAGUGUCCACAAGAAACACCUAGCUCCUCAGAAUCCUUCCCUGACAAAAAAGGUGAUACAGAAACCAUCGAUUAUGGUCUGAAAUGUUCUAAGCAGAGGUGUCAGAAGACACUCAAAAAAGGUGUAAAGAUUUUCCUCUGUACUUGGAGAAAGAUAGCAGCCACCACAUAUAGGAUUUCUGAACACGGAUGUAUCUACCUUAGUGAAGGUGCAGCUGCCAAGGGAGGCAGAAGCAAAGAAUAAUAACUGAGCUUUAGUUAAUUCAAGGAAAGAGUCACUGUGUUCUGAGUUUCAGAAAUUUUAGGGAAAUUUAAAAUAAAAAAUCCCAUACACACCACCACCUCCAGAAAAAUAAGAUACCAUGUGAUUUUUCCGAUUCAAGGUAAGGGCAGGGAAAAGAACAAUAAUUUGCUUUCAGAUUCUCUACUGAAGAAUAAAAACACUGAAGUAAGACCAAAAAUUUUACCAGAAACAUUUUAGACAAGGAGUCAAGACUUAUGUACUUUCUAGUCUUCAGUGCAUAAAAAAAAAAUACAGCCUAAAGAAGCUAAGCAAAAAAAAAACAAUUAUGAAAAUAUUAUGAGCAGAAUGAAAUAUUCUACACAAUACUUUUGACUGACUUUGACUUUAGAAACUUAAAACUGGAAAACAUGAGACCAAGGACUAGUAUAUAACUUUUCAACAAGUUCUCAGUGCUGUAGUUUAACAGUCCUAGUUUUGCUUAAUUAAAAAGAAGUAUGAAGGUUAGCCUAACACUGACUAGUUUUUCUCCUCACCCCUUAACCUCAACAGAGAGGCCUCACUGUCCCUCCUCAGCCCUGCAAUUCCUUCAGCCUUGCCACCCCCUCAGCAGCCCCCAACAUUCCCCUCAGCCCCGCAUCAGUCCCAUGAGGGAGAGGGCGGCUGAGCCACGGGAGUGAAACCUGCUGCUCCAAACAGCCCCACCGCCAGCCCGGGAGGAAGCUGGCAGUCCCUGAACCAGGAACGGCUGAUGCCUGUCCGUCAGCCCAGACCUUAAGAAAGAGGUUCAAAACACAGUAGGGUGGGGAAAUUUGGCCUCACGCCACUGGGGAUGGAGUCUUUGGACCCCAAAAGCAGGGUUGGCAUUUAUAAAUAAGGAUCUGCAUCCUAAAAAUGAGGAUUUGGAGCAUAAAAAAAAGAGGGUGAAAGCCCUGGAAUCAAAGCUUUGGGCUCUAAAAAUCAGGGUUUGGACCCUAAAAGUGAGGGUUUGGAUUGCAAUAUUGAAACUUUGGACUAAAACUGAGACUUCUGGCCUCUCAGAUGAGCCUUUGGUUCUUAAAAGCUGUUUUGGAGCCUAAAAAUUAUGCUUCGGACCUUAAAAAAUUAGGUUUUGUGUCA